CGGCCUGUUGUGUGCUUGCUCCCUCCCAAUCCUGGCAGAGCAGGCUCCCGCUCCACAUUCCCACCUCAGCUGCACCUGCCAGCUCUUCCUGGAAAGGAGGUGUAACAAGUACCAAAGAUAAUGAGUGCCAUGUUGUUUUUGAAUGAGAAGGGAAGUGAGUCACAAGGCAAUUGACACAGACAAGUUCUAG
rnacentral:lncRNA from 1 species